GACGUAGGUGGCGAACGUUAUCCGGAAUCAUUGGGCGGAAAGGGUGCGUAGAUGGCAUGAUAAGUUAUUCGUGGGAAAUCGAGGCUCAACCUCGUGGAAGCUGGUAAUACUGUUUUGCUUGAGUGCAGGAGAGGUUAACGGAACUCCAUGUGGAGCGGUAAAAUGCGUAGAUAUCUGGAGGAACACCGGUGGCGAAGGCGGCAUCCUGGACCGGCAUUGACGCUGAGGCGCGAAAGCCAGGGGAGCAAACGGG
rnacentral:rRNA from 1 species